GACAGAGGGUGCAAACGUUGUUCGGAAUUACUGGGCGUAAAGCGCGUGUAGGCGGCAGGGCAAGUCGGAUGUGAAAGCCCACGGCUCAACCGUGGAAGUGCACCCGAAACUGCCCCGCUAGAGUCUCGGAGAGGAAGGUGGAAUGCUUGGUGUAGAGGUGAAAUUCGUAGAUAUCAAGCGGAACACCGGUGGCGAAGGCGGCCUUCUGGACGAUGACUGACGCUGAGACGCGAAAGCGUGGGGAGCAAACAGG
rnacentral:rRNA from 2 species